AUGGAAAUUCAGAAUAUUGAGGGAUUUUGUGAUGGGAUUAAAAUGGAUGAAAAUUCAGAAUAUUGAGGGAUUUUGUGAUGGGAUUUGAGUGGAAAUGCAGAAUAUUGAGGGAUUUUGUGAUGAGACUAAAAUGGAUGAAAAUUCAGAAUAUUGAGGGAUUUUUUGAUAAGACUCAAAUGAAUGAAAAUUCAGAAUUUU